rfam:Aspergillus niger ATCC 1015, whole genome shotgun sequence.
GCCCGGAUGGUCUAGUGGUAUGAUUCCUGCUUCGGGUCUUGAAAUGCAGGAGGCCCCGCGUUCGAAUCGCGGUUCGGGCC